GACGAACGCUGGCGGCGUGCCUAAUACAUGCAAGUCGAACGAAGCUGUUUUAACUGGUGCUUGCACCUAAUUGACGAGACAUUGGAAUGAGUGGCGGACGGGUGAGUAACACGUGGGUAACCUGCCCAGAAGCGGGGGAUAACAUUUGGAAACAGAUGCUAAUACCGCAUAAAAGUCAAAACCACAUGGUUUUGAUUUAAAAGAUGGCCUUUGUGCUAUCACUUCUGGAUGGACCCGCGGCGUAUUAGCUAGUUGGUAAGGUAACGGCUUACCAAGGGAAUGAUACGUAGCCGAACUGAGAGGUUGAUCGGCCACAAUGGGACUGAGACACGGCCCAUACUCCUACGGGAGGCAGCAGUAGGGAAUCUUCCACAAUGGGCGCAAGCCUGAUGGAGCAACACCGCGUGAGUGAAGAAGGGUUUCGGCUCGUAAAACUCUGUUGUUAAAGAAGAACGUAUCUAAGAGUAACUGCUUAGGUAGUGACGGUAUUUAACCAGAAAGCCACGGCUAACUACGUGCCAGCCGCCGCUGUAA
rnacentral:rRNA from 1 species